UUAUGAUUGUUUAAGGAAACAUUUCAUGGAUAUGCUACAAAUCAGUUCAGUCAUUACAUGACAAUACCUAAACUAUGGAAUGUUUUGAGUACUACCCUAAAUGGAUGGGAGAACCCAAUUUUCCACACAAGAGGACUGUUCACCACCGAUCAGAGAGGCUCGUAUAGAGGAAAUUAUCAUUCUGCUGAAGAAAACAACCCAACUCAAUAUGGAAGAAGUGGAAGGAAUUCAACGAAAAGACUGAAGGGAAACAUGCAAAAUUUCCUUCAUAUAAGACGAGUAAUCACAUAAAACUGAGGUGCAUUCCGUGACACUCAUCGUAUAUGAAGGAAUUCGAUAUCAUAAUUUAUAUAGCUAAUUCUCAAUAAUACAUGUUUCUAAAUAUGUCCUAUUAUUACAUUACAUUCAGAAAUGCAUCUACCAACUACAACAAUUAUCUUACCUCUGAAUGAGGUAAAUUCAAACUUGCUAAACAUCAGCUCUCAAGCAUUCACCCGACAUUUCUAUUGUUCCAUUCAAAACAUUAAAUUCUUGCUAGG
rnacentral:lncRNA from 1 species